UCCAUCGUUUACAUUAUUUUCUACACAUGAUAUUUGAACGGCGAAAAACGACGUCAGAUUUCACAUUAGUGAGUGAGAAAAAAUCAAUGAUUAAAAUGUGAGAAUAGAGACCAUCUGUGUUGUUCGCCAUGGUGCACUCGGUCUCGUUUCGUUCGUCAUUCCGACGCGGAAUUUAUUACGAAUUAACGACAGAUCAAUAUUGUUUUAAUUAAUUCGAUUU